rnacentral:lncRNA from 1 species
UUUUUUUUCUUUGAAAUAUGUAAUUAUUAUGCUUUGAACGUAUAUUAAUUUCUUUAUCUUUUCUUUGCAUGCAAAAAAUAUCUCGAGUUUAAAUAGACUCCUCUCCUCUUGCAUUUCGUAAUGGAUCAAUGAGGCUCACCUCUUCGAGUAAAGUUCGAAGUUUAAAUCAAGGUCCACUACAUAGCGUGCGGGUGCUUGAAGAUAGACGAAGAAGGAAAAUGGAUCCAAAUCCAUUGAUGAGG